ensembl:lncRNA novel transcript
AUGGGAAGAUUUCCAUAAAGAUGAUCUUCUGAGUGAAGGCUGGGCUUUAAGACGAAAUGAGAGACAGUGUUGGUGGAAGAAGAGAACUUAAGGCCAGAAGUUGAAUUAAGAAAAAGAAGAGAAGUACAGGAGAUAUCAUUAAAUUAUAUAGUUCUCUCUUCGACUGUAGCCUUAUAACAGGGACAUUAAUAGAAUUAACAGGUGGAAUCUAAUUGUCUCCCUUGGAAUCUGGGAUGGCUGUCCUACUUAUUUGACCAACAGAAUUUGUCAGAAGGGACUUUCUGUAACUUCUGAAGCUGUCUCAUAAGAAGCCUUGCAGAUUCUGCUCAUGUCUCUUUCCUCUCUGGGAAACAAGUCGCGACUCAGGGAUAAGCCUGAGACACAUGGAGAGAACAUCCUGAUCAAUCUGGUCUUUGCUGCUACCCUGGUCAACAGCCUGAGCUGGAUACCUGGCUGACAAGUACCACCUUUUUCCUACACAGAUGACAACCCAGCCCAUGAGCACCAGGAGGAAAAGAACCAGGAUUGGGAGGUCACAGAACCUGAAAUCAGCAUGAUUGCCUCUGUGGACUUCGGUUUCAGUUACUCACACCUGGGCUUUUUAGAAGUAAUUUGAAUGGAUACAGUCAAAGCUCAGCCUCUAGAAGAUCCCAAAUGACCCCACUGUAGGAGUAUGAGAAGAACGUUCAGGAAGAAGGGGUUCAGGUGGUAGAUGAUAAGAAUCUACAGGUGGCACAAUAGACAUAUUACCUUCUUUGGUGGAGUCUGUAAAGACAUUACUAAAGUUUAAUAAUAAAGCAUGAAUAUUCAGACCCUUCUUUUCUGCCUUCUAAGAGUUAAUGAGUGAAAUGUUGAAUUGGAGGAAGAAGAAACAUUCAUUGACUUGUUUUAAACAAGAAAGAGAGGAGAGGUGCUCUUAACAUAAAAUGAUAGACUCAUAAGAGAGUGGGAAAGUUUGGCAUGGGCUGGAGUUUGAAGACAUUGGGGCUUUUGAAAAGAAUAUUUAUUGGGCAGCCAUCAUUAAUUUGAAGUCUAAGGUGUUGAUUUCCAAGAAAGAUCUUGUUCUUCAAACUCUGUUACAGCGUCUUCUCUGGAGAAGUCAACAGUGAGAUGGGCUAAAUGAAGAAGGAGCAGCUUAUUGUCUUUGUUGGUUUUCUUUAUUUUCCUUCGAAGCAUCUGGGGGAAGAGGAAGACAAUGGAUGAGAUGGCGUAUGUUCUUUCCGCCCUGUGAAUGAAUCAGAUUUGAACUCCUAAGCAAAAUAGAAAAUGCAGAAAUGGUGCUCAGGCAAAACCUGAGAGACACCGGGCUCAAGCGACUCUCCUCUGAAGUCCAUCUGAUAAAGUCUGAAUUAUGGAUAAGUCCUUUCCCCCUCAAUAGUCUACUGCUUACUAAAGUGUAGCUCAAUGACUCUGUGGGCUUGGGUAAUCAGCAGGUAAGCAUAGCUAUGCCCAAUGAAGCAGGGGCUGUGAGAAGAAGCCUUGAAGAGUACCUAAAGUAGAAAAUAAGUGAACUUUCUCCUAAGCCCAUAGGAAACAUCACUAUCCUGCUGAAGGCAGGGCAGAGGGAACACAGCAGAGUAGGCUCAGAAUAACUGGGAUUUGGGCACUGAUAUUAAUGUCACCAUAUCUACACUUAUUGAUUGUUGAGAUUAUACAUUUGGCUUGAAACCACAGGAACUAAUAUACUCUAAAUAUAAGCUGAGAAAAAUUAAAAAUAACCACAACUACAACAGUAGAAAGAGAAAAUAUAUGAAUGCCAAGAAUCUAAUGUGUAAAUUAACUACAAGGGUUUAGAAGUUUUGGGCAUCUCCCUGGGGAUUAGCUGUGCUCAGUCUCCCCUCCAGGAAAUCAUUUACAACUCUAUGUCUGUUACCCCAAAAUGACUUAAAUGAAGUUUAGGAUAAGACAGAGACAAGUUCAGAACAAGACAUGGGUGAGGUUCAGAAGAAUGAAAUUGAAAUUAUAUGAAUUUCCAAUUGUUAGAGAUGCAUGAGUGAGAUACAGGUUUUCAAGUGUUGUGAUGUCAUACCAUAAAAUGAUUAUAAACAUUUAGGAAACAAUCUCUCCUGUGGAAUCAGGAAUCAUUACUAAAUAUCACAAUUAUAGUGGAGACGCUGAAGAAGUC